GAAUGAUUCUUUUAGCAAAUCCUUUGUGGAUAACCUUAAAAUACUGGCCGGUAACGACGAAAAGGUUAAUUUUUGGGCGGGAUGCUGACUAAGGGAGUUCUCGCUCAAGUCUAUUUUUUCGAGAGUUUUUGCUCUUGCUGUUAAGAAAGUUGGGAAUAUUGUGGAUUUCGGUUUUUGGCUUGAUGAGAAGUGGGUUUGACAUGUGGAGCUUAGGAGACCCCUUUUUAUUGAGAGAAGAAUUAGUGGUUUGCUUUUAUGGGUGUGAUAAUUCAAUUUAAUUGUUGCAAGGAGAAGGUUGAUAUGUUAAUUUGGACUAAAGUCAAGGACCGCCUAUAUACCCGUAAGGCCCUUUGUUCGUUGGUGUCAAGUGGGAAGAACCAAAUGGCGAAACUUUGGAAAUUAGUGUGGGUAAAACUUGCACCCCGAACGUGGAAUUCUUCGUUUGGAUAUUGGUGCAGGGUAGAGCUGCUACUAAAUCUGAGUUAUCCAAGAGAGAUUAAGGAAAGAGGAAAUUGGAAUUGGAUCGGGGGAAAUCUAAAGUUGUCGAAUAGUUGUCCCGGUUCGUUUGUCUUCGUCCGAGAUUUUGGAAGCUAGCUAUGAGCUCGAGGAUCAUCAAAGAACUUCGUCACACUAUCAAUCGUUUUUUAUUUUUUGAUAUUGCCAAUUGAUUAGAAGAAACUAGAUGAUAUGGAGAAAGAUUGGAAGAUUACCAAUUGUUUGACAUCUAGUACAAUUCGAUCGUGUCUUUCUCGAGAGAAAAUGUAUGCUUUCUCAAAGGAGACUUUUGCAAAUAGAUUGUGGUUGAAGAAAUUCUUUUGAAGAAAAACAGUCAAAAUAAGCUCCACGUGAAGAAAAUGUUGUUUCGCUUCACUUAUGUUCCAAGUACC